rnacentral:misc_RNA from 1 species
UACGGAGGGUGCGAGCGUUAAUCGGAAUUACUGGGCGUAAAGCGCGCGUAGGUGGUUUGAUAAGCGAGAUGUGAAAGCCCCGGGCUUAACCUGGGAACGGCAUUUCGAACUGUCAGGCUAGAGUAUGGUAGAGGAGUGUGGAAUUUCCUGUGUAGCGGUGAAAUGCGUAGAUAUAGGAAGGAACACCAGUGGCGAAGGCGGCACUCUGGACCAAUACUGACACUGAGGUGCGAAAGCGUGGGGAGCAAACAGG